UUUAUUUUUUCACUCACUUAUUAUAUUAUUUUUAUUCAUCUACUUUCUCUACUCAUAACUCUAUAAGUACCCAUAUAUUCUUCACUCCAUUUCUUACACACACACAAACAGACACACACAUCUCUUCUCCUCCACACUAUCACUCUUCAACAACACACAUUUCUUUCCCUCUACACCAUAAUUAUUUUCUAUUAUCUCUCUAAUUUAAUCACUUUUACCAUAUUACCAUUUCCUUCUUCAUAGUCCACCAUCAUCAAACACAUCUCUUCUCCUCUAUAUCACCAUCUUCACAUUCUAAAACUUCCAUUUUCACUUGCAUCUCGAUCAGGCUAUCUCCGCUUUCUCCAUCCAGAAAGUGUCUAGGCGAUCCUAGCGUUGAGGACUACCAAACUGACCGAUCAAAUUGUUUAAUCGAACAAGUACGUGGUAAACCCUUUUAUUAGCCUUUUAGGGUUUUGAUUAUGUAAAACAAUUUUGUUUUGCAUGAAUCAAGGGUUCCUCUUAUUUGUGAUUCUAAGGUUGUUCUUCAAUUGUCAAUCAGUGAAUUAAUCGACAGAGUGUUUAGAGGAUUUUGAGCUGUUGAGAUUGAGGUAAAAGAAGCUAGAUUUACUUUAAUUUGUAAUUUAGUUCCUAUUUGUGAUGAAUCUAGGUGUAUUGUGUUAAUUGAAUUGAAUUCAGAUUUUAAAGUAGACAUUUCAUGUUUAAAUUGUUUGUUUUGAGUAUGGAUUGAUGAAUGAUGUUUAUGAACUGAAUUGCAUGAUGCUUAGAUCGUUUGGAAUGUAUUAUAUGUUGGAAAUUUGUGGUAAGAAGGUUCGCUGAUGAGUAGGCAUAGUUUGCAUUUGAUUUUGGGUUAGUUUUAAAUAAGUGAAUUAGUGAAAUUUAGAUUUGGGGGUUGGGUGCUCAAAUGGUCAGUUGUAAUAGUUUGGGUAAGUCAUUUGGGACUUGCUAAAGCCCCUAAAUUGCUUAAAACUGUGCCAAAAGUGGUAGAAUGAGAUUUGGGUCUAUAAGUUAGGUGUUUUGUAGAUUUUGAGGUGUAAAUUGUUUAGUAGAAACUUUAGAAUGAUGUUUGUAAGGUUUAGAAACAAUUGUCCAAGUUCAAUUAAGUCUAUAACACAAUUUAGGAGGAUUAGAAGUUGGGGAAAAUCUUCGAAAUUGGUAAAUUCUAGGUAUGUUGGGAAAAUUCUGCAGAUUUGUUCUGCAGAUUUGUGCUGCAAAAUUAUGCAAACCCGUUGAGCGAGUGGAGUCGCUCAGCGAGUGGUCAUAAAGUCUGGCACACUGUUCUGGUAUUCGCAUAGCAAGCAGGGGCGUUGACCGAGAGGUUGAGGUCUGAGAGCACUGUGAGUUUUAUUCGAUCAGCAAAAGGGGUCGCUGAGCGAAUGUGUUGGGGGUCUAGACCACUGUUUGGAGGAUUCACACAGCGAGUUGGUGCGCUAAGCGAGAGGUUGAGAUAUGGUACCAUUGGUAGUUUUAUUCGCUCAGCGAGCUGGGUAGUUGAGCGAGUGGAUUGGAGGCUGGCGAUACUAUCAUUGGAUUCGCACUGCGAGUUGGGUCGUUUUGCGAAAGAACUCUGUGGUCGUUCAGUGAGUGUGUGCGCUGAGCGAUUGGUCCAGGUUGUAAUAUACUAUUUUCUUCUUUGUUCUUAAUUGGUUUGAGUUAUGUAAUCGAUUCAUUUGUGGAUGAGGUAUGAUUAUGUAUGAGUAUUAUAUGAGUAUCAGAGUAAAGUAUAUUGUUUCAAAUGGUGUGGAGGAGAAUUCCAAGAAGGAAUUUCUCUGUGGUGGUUGUCAAAGUUUGUAAGUAUGAAUAUGGAAAGCUCAGUCUUGAAGUUCA